rnacentral:rRNA from 1 species
UAAUACGUAGGGUGCGAGCGUUAAUCGGAAUUACUGGGCGUAAAGCGUGCGCAGGCGGUUUUGUAAGACAGCUGUGAAAUCCCCGGGCUCAACCUGGGAACUGCGGUUGUGACUGCAAGACUUGAGUACGGCAGAGGGGGGUGGAAUUCCUGGUGUAGCAGUGAAAUGCGUAGAUAUCAGGAGGAACACCGAUGGCGAAGGCAGCCCCCUGGGCCUGUACUGACGCUCAUGCACGAAAGCGUGGGGAGCAAACAGG